rnacentral:rRNA from 1 species
UACGGGGGGGGCAAGCGUUGUUCGGAAUUACUGGGCGUAAAGGGCUCGUAGGCGGCCAACUAAGUCCGACGUGAAAUCCCCAGGCUUAACCUGGGAACUGCGUCGGAUACUGGAUGGCUUGAAUCCGGGAGAGGGAUGCGGAAUUCCAGGUGUAGCGGUGAAAUGCGUAGAUAUCUGGAGGAACACCGGUGGCGAAGGUGGCAUCCUGGACCGACAUUGACGCUGAGGAGCGAAAGCCAGGGGAGCAAACGGGG